UCCCCCGUGGCGCAAUUGGCUAGCGCGUCAGACUGUUAUCUCAAUAGGUCAUCUGGAGGCUGGUGGUUCGAGCCCACCCGGGGGAG
rnacentral:tRNA from 1 species